rnacentral:lncRNA from 1 species
UCUUCAGGAUCGCCUAGUUUUAAGGGCAUUCAACUUUUUUUUUCUUUGAAAGUUCAUUCUCUUUUUAAAACCCUUUUAGGUGUUAUCAUGCAUUGGGGUAUUGACUGCGAUUACGUACAAACGUUACUUUAACAAAAAAGAACAAGAAGAAACGUUUUCUGAAUUGAUAACAACAGAGAAAAAAAAAUCAGACGAAUAUAUAGAAAAGGCGAAAAAGGAGUUAAACGAUUUGAAAACAAACCUCGGAGAUGAAAUAAAAACUUAAAGAUGAUUUGCAAAGACAAGAAGAGGGCAAGACGGCUGAAUUGGAAAUAAUCAAGGAAAAAUUGACAGAAAAUGUGAGUAAGAAGUUAAUGGCUUUAUAUGAAAAGGAGAAGAAAGCUUUAAUAAAAUUGAUCAGUGAGGAACAAACAAAGUUUGCGAUAUGUAUACAGAAAGAAAAAGAAACGUUGGCGGAAUUAAAAAGAAAACAAAAUGAUGAAUUUGAGAGCAAACAAAAGGAAAUGAUGCCUGAAUUGAAAAAAAAUCAAGAAAAAACAUUUGCAGAUUUAACAGAAAAACAAAAGAACACAUUAGAUGAAUUGAAAAGAGAAUGCAGGCAAACGUUGGAUAACCUGACAGAAACAGAGAAAAACAAGUAUACUGAAUGGAUUAAAGAACAAACAAACAUUUUGGCCGGAUUAAAAAAAAAAUAAAGAUGAGUGGAAUGAAUUUUUUGAAAAAGAAAAGAACAAACAUACUGGUUGGAUUGAAGGAGAGAAGAAAACGUUGAACGGUUGGAAAAAAGUACAAGAAGAAUAUAUAGCUGACUUAAAAACAAACCUAAGAGAUGAAUUAAAAAAACAACUUCAAGAUGAUUUUACAAGACAAGAAGAGGACAAGGAGGCUGAAUUGGAAAGAAUCCGGGUAAAAAGAAAACAAUUGGACACGUUGACUGACUCAACGUAAAGAGAAAACAAUUUAACUUAUUUAAAUUUAAAAAUUGAAGUUUUUUUUUGGUAGACUAACAUGAUUGUAAAGCAC